UUAACUAUUAUAUAGUACUCAGACGACACUAAUAAACAGAGUUUGUGGUCCUUUGGCGAGCGCACACCAGCAAGAGCCGGUGGCCGAAGCGGCUCGCCAAAGCAACAAGGGUUUUAAUAACAUAGGGUUGGAGAGUCACCCCGUGAGGGCGAUGUUCUCUGUAAUGAUCCCUCCGCAGGUUCACCUACGGAGA
rnacentral:misc_RNA from 1 species